UACGUAGGGUGCGAGCGUUAAUCGGAAUUACUGGGCGUAAAGCGUGCGCAGGCGGUUUUGUAAGCCAGAUGUGAAAUCCCCGGGCUCAACCUGGGAAUGGCAUUUGGGACUGCAAGGCUGGAGUACGGCAGAGGAGACUGGAAUUCCUGGUGUAGCAGUGAAAUGCGUAGAUAUCAGGAGGAAUACCGAUGGCGAAGGCAGGUCUCUGGGCUGAUACUGACGCUCAUGCACGAAAGCGUGGGGAGCAACAGG
rnacentral:rRNA from 1 species